GGACGAACGCUGGCGGCGUGCUUAACACAUGCAAGUCGAACGGUGAAGCGCCUUCCUUUUGGUGGGUGUGGAUGAGUGGCGAACGGGUGAGUAACACGUGAGUAACCUGCCCCCUUCUUCUGGAUAACCGCAUGAAAGUGUGGCUAAUACGGGAUAUUCUGCGCCUGCUGCAUGGUGGGUGUGGGAAAGAUAUUGYUUCGGUGGGGGAUGGGCUCGCGGCCUAUCAGCUUGUUGGUGGGGUGAUGGCCUACCAAGGCGGUGACGGGUAGCCGGCCUGAGAGGGUGGACGGUCACACUGGGACUGAGACACGGCCCAGACUCCUACGGGAGGCAGCAGUGGGGAAUAUUGCACAAUGGGCGCAAGCCUGAUGCAGCGACGCCGCGUGAGGGAUGGAGGCCUUCGGGUUGUAAACCUCUUUCGCCAGUGAAGCAGGCCUGUCCCUUGUGGGUGGGUUGACGGUAGCUGGAUAAGAAGCGCCGGCUAACUACGU
rnacentral:rRNA from 1 species